AAAUAAAGUACCUCCCAUCUGGUGUACACUUGUUUUUUUAACAACUUUUUUUCGACAGUGUACAAUUUUCUCUACGGUCAUAAGUCGUAACAAUAAAACUGUCGUGAGUUACAAUGUCACAACGCAAUAUAAAAUAAAAAUACGUUUCUCGUUUGCUGACUUGACCUCAUCAUCGCGACCAGUGUCAGAACUGCAGCGCUAUUAACUGCUAUUGGUUGGUCACGGAAAUGCCAGAUAGAUUUAUAUGACUAGGAGAGAAGCAGAAUACUAUCUCAUCGAAUUUACAAAGUAUUUCAAGUCUCGAUUACUCGCAGAGUAAAAGUUCGUAUACACUAGACCAAGGUUGACAAUUUGGAAUCGGCUCAGAAAAAUCUGUACAUUCGUGGCCCGUUUCAAAGAAUAAACAGCCAGCAAUAAGUUAAAACUUGGUCAAACUAUAUGGAGAAUGUCAAACUCGGCAUAUCGGGAAUACCUCAUACAAGUGCAACUU